UGGGGGGCAAAAAGACGAUUCUUUAACUUGUCAUAGCCACUGCUCCUAAGACAGCGAGAAAUUAGGUUAAUAAAUUGAAACUUGGAGGUCUAAGUGAAGCAGCGCGUCACAGUGAAGGGAAAACAUCGCAGAGAAACCGGUGAAGAGCAAGUCAAAACCGCCCCUUUUCUUUUUUUUGUGUAGCCGUUAUGGCAACGGCUACAUAACGGCUAACAGGCAGCCGAGCUAGCUGCUGGUCGACUAGCUCGGCUAGCUGACAGAGAUUCAACACCAGAAAACACGAAGCUGGGGGCGGAGUUUUGCCCGCUUGACGUCACGUUUCAACGUGCCAAAUAAAAUGAUGGAUGAUUCCUGCAGCUCCCAGAGCGACACUCUCCGAUGGUGGACACCAGGUCAAACUAGAAAACAGAAUUCAGCUCUUGAAAUUCACAGGUCAACAAAACUGCUUUGAAACUUCAAGGAAAAAAAGGAAGAAACAAGAUUUUAUGUUUUUCCCCUUUCUAUCUUUAUGGGUGAUUCAACAGAUCUUUAAUGUAACCAACACCCUUCCUGCUUGCUCCACACAAAUUAAAAGGUACUAGGGACGUCUGACUGCUACCAAAACAGGAAAGGACUGCGCCUGCCGAUAAGGAAAACUGAAGAGCUGUAGCUUCACUCAGCAUGGGAGGGGGCUUGUGAGCAAAUGCUCUUCUGCGACUGAGAUUUGUUUGUUUGAGGGAUGACACAAGUGCGUUAUAUUAACUUUCCACAUAGGCACUUAAAGGCAAGUGUAAAACAGGAUGUGAGUGUUUCUGAAUGAUGGUUCAAACUUGUCAGCAGGAGAGGCUAAAGAAGGCGGCGUGUCACCUCUGUCAGCUGUUCCAGGGAGUUGGCGUAGGUGGGUCGGGCGUACACAAAGACAGGACGUGCCACCUCGUCGCCGGAUGAAGCCAAAC